CUCAGGAUGAACGCUGGCGGCGUGCUUAACACAUGCAAGUCGAACGUGAACCUAAUUUCGGUUAGGGGAAAGUGGCGAACGGGUGAGUAACACGUUGGUGACCUGCCCUGGGGAGGGGGAUAACCCCUCGAAAGAGGAGCUAAUACCCCGGAUGUCGUCGAGAUGGGACUUGACUGACUAAAGGCGAAAGCCGCCCCUGGGAGGGGCCUGCGGGCUAUCAGCUAGUUGGUGAGGUAACGGCUCACCAAGGCGAAGACGGCUAGGGGGCGUGAGAGCGUGGUCCCCCACAAUGGAACUGAGACACGGUCCAUACUCCUACGGGAGGCAGCAGUGAGGAAUAUUGCCCAAUGGAGGGAACUCUGAGGCAGCAACGCCGCGUGGACGAUGACGGCCUUCGGGUUGUAAAGUCCUUUUCUGUGGGAAGAUGAUGACGGUACCACAGGAAUAAGUCCCGGCUAACUACGUGCCAGCAGCCGCGGUAAAACGUAGGGGGCGAGCGUUAUCCGGAUUUACUGGGCGUAAAGCGCGCGCAGGCGGCUGAUCAAGUUGGACGUGAAAGCUCCCGGCUUAACUGGGAGAGGUCGUUCGAGACUGGUCGGCUAGAGGCCAAGAGAGGAGAGCAGAAUUCCCGGUGUAGUGGUGGAAUGCGUAGAUAUCGGGAGGAAUACCAGUGGCGAAGGCGGCUCUCUGGCUUGGAACUGACGCUGAGGUGCGAAAGCGUGGGGAGCGAACGGGAUUAGAUACCCCGGUAGUCCACGCUGUAAACGAUGGAUACUGGGCGUAGGGGGUAAUCAACCACCCCCUGUGCCGAAGCCAACGCGAUAAGUAUCCCGCCUGGGGACUACGGC
rnacentral:rRNA from 1 species